GCUUUCAUCAGGUUAUAAAGUCUGUUGGUCAGUAAAGUUCAGUUUUGAGCUUGUUUUGACCCAGUGUUACUGUUGUCUCAGAGGAGCAAUUGGAGAUUUCAGACACUGAUUGAGCAACACUAAUAAUUAUUUAGAAAUAUAAAAUUAACAUGCAGCAGUUCCCACACGAGAUUAUUUUUUUUAUUCUCUUUUCUGUUGAUUCAGUUAUCAAGCAGCAUGAAUAAAUAUCAUGUUAUCUAGUUGACUGCAAACAGCAUGAGCACGUGUGAUCAACAAACAAAAAAUAAAAUGCAGAAAAACUUUUCUUAUUGUGUAUUGUGACAUAUAACAGUGAACAGAAAGGUACAUAUUCACAUUCACGUCAUACUGUUCUUAAAUAGUUUAGUCCUUCAGUCAUGAUUGUAUCUUGUGACCCUCCAAUGCAAAUCAAACACUCCUGUAUGUUUGUCAGUAUUUAUGUGCUUCUGAUUGGAUCUGGAGCGUCACAUCACCACUUUCAAGAUGAAGAGUUCACUCUGCUUACUGCUGCUCUCAUUCAGCGUACACCGUUUAAAAUGUCAAAGUAUGGAGUCCAUUGAAAGCACGGUUCAGAAAAAGCCUGGAGAAACUCUGACUCUGUCCUGUAGAGGAUCCGGGUUGAACUUUGACUGCUGUAGCAUGCACUGGAUCAGACAACAAGCUGGAAAACCUCUCGUGUGGAUUGGACGUGUUUAUAGUCAUGGUAAUAGCCAUGACUACGCUGAAGCCUUCAACAGACGAACUGAAAUCACCAGAGAUAAUUCAAAGAAUAUGGUAUAUCUGAAACUGUCGGGCCUGACAACAGAAGACUCAGCCACAUAUUAUUGCGCAAAACAAACACAGAGACACAAAGUUCUUGCACGGCUGAACAAAAACCACUUGAGUGUUUCAUCUCUUGUCACUAGAGUUCAACAGGUGGCAGCAGAGAAUAAAAAAUCCACAAAAUACAGUCCAAUGAGAAGAUAUACCAUCUGUCACAUCAUUAUUAAAGCCUAUUAUAUUACAGUUAAAUUUACAAUACACUAUAAAAGCUCUAACAUCACACAACACAAAGGUAUAUCUGACUCCUUUAACACAACACAUAUUUUUGAUAUGUAGAUUUGUGGUAAUGGCUACACAUUUUACAGUGACAAACUAAAAAUAUGUUUCAAUUAACCAGAGACUCUUCCAGGAGUCUACAAGGGAAAGUGACUCUACAAGGGCAAAAUAUAAUAAUGAAU